rnacentral:rRNA from 1 species
GACGAACGCUGGCGGCGUGCUUAACACAUGCAAGUCGAACGGAAAGGCCCUGCUUUUGUGGGGUGCUCGAGUGGCGAACGGGUGAGUAACACGUGAGUAACCUGCCCUUGACUUUGGGAUAACUUCAGGAAACUGGGGCUAAUACCGGAUAGGAGCUCCUGCUGCAUGGUGGGGGUUGGAAAGUUUCGGCGGUGGGGGAUGGACUCGCGGCUUAUCAGCUGGUUGGUGGGGUAGUGGCUUACCAAGGCUUUGACGGGUAGCCGGCCUGAGGGGGUGAGCGGCCACAUGGGGACUGAGAUACGGCCCAGACUCAUGCGGGAGGCAGGAGUGGGGAAUAGUGCACAAGGGGCGGAAGCCUGAUGCAGCAACGCCGCGUGCGGGAUGACGGCCUUCGGGUUGUAAACCGCUUUCGCCUGUGACGAAGCGUGAGUGACGGUAAUGGGUAAAGAAGCACCGGCUAACUACGG